rnacentral:rRNA from 1 species
GACGAACGCUGGCGGCGUGCCUAAUACAUGCAAGUAGAACGAGUUGCGAACGGGUGAGUAAAGAGUGGUAAACUGCCAUAAAGCGGGGGAAAACGAUCGGAAACGAGAGCUAAUACCGCAAAGCUAAGGAUGGAUCUGAGUUGCAAUAGCUAGUUGGUGAGGUAAAGGUCAACCAAGGUGACGAUACAUACCCGACCUGUGAGGGUGAUCAGCCACACUGGGACUGAGACACGGCCCAGACUCCUACGGGAGGCAGCAGUGGGGAAUAUUGCACAAUGGGCGCAAGCCUGAUGCAGCCAUGCCGCGUGUAUGAAGAAGGCCUUCGGGUUGUAAAGUACUUUCAGCGGGGAGGCGUUACCCGCAGAAGAAGCACCGGCUAACUCCGUGCCAGCAGCCGCGGUAAUUC